CAAAAAAGAGUAGAAAUUGAACUAUUUUUUUUUAUCAUGGCUACACUUACUGUUUUCAUAGAAAAGAGACGUCAAAGUGAUUCAAUAGUUGCCAUAUGCAAGACGUUUUACAUAGACAGUGGCGCCCCUAUUAUUUUCUACUCUUUUUUGCCAGACUGUAUAUAGACGGUCAAGCAAAUCGUGAGAACAAAAUUCAAAUUUUCUAUGGGACGACAAUGUAUGAGCACAUUAUUCAAAUUUGCCGCCAUUUUUUACUCUCAUGCUUUGCUUAACCAUCUAUAGUUACAUUAUCUAGGUUGGACUUGUGAUUACUGAUGUAUUUAUUGGGUAAAAAAAAACUGGUACUGGCAACAUUCUUAAGUUGUCAUCCAACAAACCAAGCUAACGGUCGAAUGUGAUCUGCUCGUGUACUGUUUUUCUUUUCGCACGUUUUUUUGCGUCGUUGUCAUUGCUGUGAAAGUGUUAUGGUGGUAAAAUUAACUUGGUGAUCGCAAUCGCAAGUAUACCUACUAAAAUAAUGGAAGAAGACACAGAAAACAAAUUGGUAUCCUGGGAUGUGCCGUCAGUAGUCGUCGAGAACUUCAAAAAAAAUGAUAUAAGCAAGGAACAGUUCAAAUAUUUGGUUUUAAAUGAUACUUGAAAGAGCUUUGCAAACACAUUGGGCACCGAAUUAAACUAAAAAGUAAACUACAAGAUUACUUAGACUCAGUUACUGAUACUGAAACUGCAUAUUUCUUCAAUGAAGAUUUAAUGGUUAUUAAAGCGAAAACAAACUGUAUAGAAGUGAUGCAAGUUGAUCAAGAUCAGUCAGUUAUUCUGACAGACAUUACUUUGGAUUUGGAUUCCUACUUAAGUGUACCAAGUAGGCUUUCACUGCCAUAAUUUGAAUUGAAGAGUAUCCGCCAAUGUACUCCACAAGUAAAUAGUGUUCUAAAUUAUUAUCAAAAAUACAAACAAUUGAACUCGCAAAAAAGAAACAUCAUUGUUGAUGUUUUGGUGAAAUAUCACUACACAUUUAUUGUUAACAACAACAUCAAACCAGAAGAAUUCAAUUUGCUAGCUGCAAAAAUUGUUUCACUUUUCCCAACUGAAAGUAUAUAUACCUACUAUAUGAAAGCUGUGCCAACAUGCAAAUCUGCUUCAAGAAAAUAUGUGCCCGCUAAAGGCAAAUUAGUGGACAAGGUUCGAAAUCUCCUGUACAUAUCAGGAGAAAAGUGCAGGGGCUUAAACCCACUUGCUCUAAUAGGGAUUCGGAUACAGAUGUAGAGUCUGUGGAAAAUAAUCAAGGGACUGCUUCAAAUGACGACGCUAUUUGGCUGAAAUAUAACAAUGAGCUAUGGGACCAAGUUUGUGAAAGGUGGAAUAACACCUUUGAAUUAAGACACAAACAAAAAUUUGAAACUGUACAUGAUUUUCUUGAAACCUGGGCCAUUUGAAAAGACAGCAAAGUAGAUACUCUGG